GCUUUGUAAGAACACUUUAUUUUUCUGGUGCUGCAGGCUGCAAGUUUCACACUCUGAGACUAAAUCCCAUUUGUAUCGUCCGGGUCCCGGGGAGAGACAUUGAUUUAAAAGUAGCUGAAAUGGAGCACAGAAACAAACUGAAGCCCAAAUGAGGAGACACUUCUGUGAGAGGCAGCUGGAGAUCAAACCCACCCAGGAUGCUCUCCAGUCAGUAUCUGCAGCAACAAAGAAUCUUGCAGAUAGACAUGUAUUUAAAACAGCCAGCUCACGCACUGCUGGCUGUAGGCCCCAUCAGGAGGAAUGUAUUUUAAAGGACCAGCCCAAGACCAGGGGAGGAUAACUGACCUUUCAGUGAAGAAAAGCUGCCAGCAUUUUCAGCAAACCCCAGGAACAGCAUCCAAAUCCUGCAGUCCAAUGCCCAGACUGUUUCCUAUUCUCAGUUAUUUUACUUUGUGUUUUGAUAAUUUGUGAUGAAUAUUCACAUGUCAUAAAAAAGACCUUUAAAUAAAAUGAGAUGAAACUAAAGAACA
rnacentral:lncRNA from 1 species